CAAUAGCGUAUAUUAAAGUUGUUGCGGUUAAAAAGCUCGUAGUUGGAGUUCUGCCAGGUGACACUCGUCCGCCCAAGUGGUGUGUACAGGGUGUGCAUCUGGCCCUUUCAAGGGGAACGUGUCUGCACUUCAUUGUGUGGUGCGAGAUCCUUGACUUUUACUUUGAGGAAAUAAGAGUGUUCCAAGCAGGCUCUCGUCGUGCAUAGCUCAGCAUGGAAUAAUAGCAUUGGACUUCGUUUCUACGCUGUUGGUUGCAAGAAGCGAGGUAAUGAUGAAGAGGGAUAGUUGGGGGCAUUCGUAUUUAACUGUCGGAGGUGAAAUUCUUGGAUUUGUUAAAGACGGACUACUGCGAAAGCAUCUGCCAUGGAUGUUUUCAUUGA
rnacentral:rRNA from 1 species